rnacentral:rRNA from 1 species
UACGAGGGGUGCAAGCGUUAUUCGGAAUUAUUGGGCGUAAAGGGUGCGUAGACGGUUUUUUAAGUCACCUGUGAAAUUCUUUGGCCUAACUGAAGGCUAGCGGGUGAAACUGAUUAACUUGAGGAUGGAAGAGAGAAGUGGAAUUCUCGGAGUAGCGGUAAAAUGCGUAGAUCUCGAGAGGAACACCAAUGGCGAAGGCAGCUUCUUGGUCCAUAUCUGACGUUGAGGCACGAAAGCGUGGGGAGCAAAC